UACGUAGGGGGCAAGCGUUAUCCGGAUUUACUGGGUGUAAAGGGAGCGUAGACGGCGGCGCAAGUCUGGAGUGAAAGCCCGUGGCCCAACCACGGGACUGCUCUGGAAACUGUGCGGCUGGAGUGCGGGAGGGGCAGGCGGAAUUCCUAGUGUAGCGGUGAAAUGCGUAGAUAUUAGGAGGAACACCGGCGGCGAAGGCGGCCUGCUGGACCGUGACUGACGUUGAGGCUCGAAAGCGUGGGGAGCAAACAGG
rnacentral:rRNA from 1 species